rnacentral:rRNA from 1 species
AGUGAACGCUGGCGGUAGGCCUAACACAUGCAAGUCGAACGGCAGCACAGUAAGAGCUCGCUCUUACGGGUGGCGAGUGGCGGACGGGUGAGGAAUACAUCGGAAUCUACUUUUUCGUGGGGGGUAACGUAGGGAAACUUACGCUAAUACCGCAUACGACCUACGGGUGAAAGCAGGGGAUCUUCGGACCUUGCGCGAUUGAAUGAGCCGAUGUCGGAUUAGCUAGUUGGCGGGGUAAAGGCCCACCAAGGCGACGAUCCGUAGCUGGUCUGAGAGGAUGAUCAGCCACACUGGAACUGAGACACGGUCCAGACUCCUACGGGAGGCAGCAGUGGGGAAUAUUGGACAAUGGGCGCAAGCCUGAUCCAGCCAUACCGCGUGGGUGAAGAAGGCCUUCGGGUUGUAAAGCCCUUUUGUUGGGAAAGAAAAGCAGCAGGUUAAUACCCCGCUGUUCUGACGGUACCCAAAGAAUAAGCACCGGCUAACUUCGUG